rnacentral:rRNA from 1 species
UACGUAGGGCGCAAGCGUUGUCCGGAAUUAUUGGGCGUAAAGAGCUCGUAGGCGGUCUGUUACGUCCGCUGUGAAAUCCCAGGGCUUAACCCUGGGCUUGCAGUGGAUACGGGCAGACUAGAGGCAGGUAGGGGAGAAUGGAAUUCCUGGUGUAGCGGUGAAAUGCGCAGAUAUCAGGAGGAACACCAAUGGCGAAGGCAGCUCGCUGGGACGGUACUGACACUGAGACGCGAAAGCGUGGGGAGCAAACAGG